UUACNCAUGCAGUCGAACGGUGACCCUCGGAGCUUGCUCUGAGGCGAUCAGUGGCGAACGGGUGAGUAACACGUGAGUAACCUGCCCCAGACUCUGGGAUAACCCCGGGAAACCGGAGCUAAUACCGGAUAUGACACGAAGAGGCAUCUCUACCGUGUGGAAAGUUCUUCGGUCUGGGAUGGACUCGCGGCCUAUCAGCUCGUUGGUGAGGUAAUGGCUCACCAAGGCGACGACGGGUAGCCGGCCUGAGAGGGCGACCGGCCACACUGGGACUGAGACACGGCCCAGACUCCUACGGGAGGCAGCAGUGGGGAAUAUUGCACAAUGGGCGCAAGCCUGAUGCAGCGACGCCGCGUGAGGGAUGACGGCCUUCGGGUUGUAAACCUCUUUCAGCAGGGAAGAAGCGAAAGUGACGGUACCUGCAGAAGAAGCACCGGCUAACUACGUGCCAGCAGCCGCGGUAAUACGUAGGGUGCAAGCGUUGUCCGGAAUUAUUGGGCGUAAAGAGCUUGUAGGCGGUUUGUCGCGUCUGCUGUGAAAAUUCGGGGCUCAACCCCGAACUUGCAGUGGGUACGGGCAGACUAGAGUGUGGUAGGGGAGACUGGAAUUCCUGGUGUAGCGGUGAAAUGCGCAGAUAUCAGGAGGAACACCGAUGGCGAAGGCAGGUCUCUGGGCCACUACUGACGCUGAGAAGCGAAAGCAUGGGGAGCGAACAGGAUUAGAUACCCUGGUAGUCCACGCCGUAAACGUUGGGAACUAGGUGUGGGCCACAUUCCACGUGGUCUGUGCCGCAGCUAACGCAUUAAGUUCCCCGCCUGGGGAGUACGGCCGCAAGGCUAAAACUCAAGGAAUUGACGG
rnacentral:rRNA from 1 species